CGUUGGGCCCAAACCCAUGAACUGUGAGAUCAUGGCCUGAGCCAAAGUCUGACGCUUAACUGAUUGAGCCACCCGGGCACCUCAGGGCCAGAAAGCUCUUGAGAUGGUUUUGGUGUAUGGCUUAACCGUCAUUAAGUGGAGCAAGGUGGACCAGAACAGGAGCCACAUGGCCCAAGGCCAUGAAAGGGAGCUGUGUUCUCCAUUUGGCUGAAAUCCUCAGUCUUUCUAAUUUAUGGUCCUGCCUCACCUUAAGAACCAGUCUCUAAAGGAUUUAAGAUUUAAAUGCCAAAGUCAAUGCAAUAAAAAGCUAACCCCCCGAUUAUCCAACUGUGGUUCAGUUGAAUGACUCAAGGUGUUUCCUCCCACCUACCAGGCAGGAGUUACAGGCACCCUUCCCUACCCUAUCCUUCCCUUCCCAGAGCAGUGCACCCCGUGUUCGGGAUCGGGGACCCUGCACAUGGUUAUAGGAGGAAAGCCAUGCAAGUGCAGGGACUUGACUCCCAGCAGCCCAGCUGCUGUGUUGCCUUCUGUGGCCACAGCCCCAAUUUAGCACAGAGGAUUACAGGCUGGCAGCUGUGAAUUAUGCAAGCCAGAUUGACUCCCCGUGGCAUUCCACAUCUGGAGAAGCCUUCCUUGGGAAUCGGUACAGACGCAUCCAGGCAUUCUCGCUGCUAUUAUGAUCUUCAAAGCUACCUAGAGAAUAUUCUCUUUCAAAUGCAAAGAUUAAGAGAAGUCGAAAAUGCAUGGCAUAGUUAUUAAUUUUAAUUAAAAAAAAAAAAAACCACUCUAUAGCCAAUGCUGGUAUCCAAAAAGACACUAUUUUUUUUAAUGGCAUGAAAUACAAAAGACAUAAAAAGCACCAUUGAAAAUGCUGCUACACUAUCAAAUAAUUUAUACUUCCUCCCAUGUUAUCUAAAAAUAAAUGACACUUUUGAGGCAAUCACAUACAUUAAAUAUGGGCAAUUUGUUUCCCAAACCUUAAUUCCAGGGUUUUAAAUAGGCAAAUGAAAUAAAGAAGAUAAUCGGGAUGACUUCUGUCCCAUAACAUGCGUAGGAGAAAUAGGCGGGGUGCAGGGAAGAAAAAGGUUUUAGCACAAAAUAUUCAGCCAUCUCAAUGGAAAAGAACCUUCCACAACACACAUCAAUAGAUCGGGCUGCCUCUGCUUGCCCUGCCCAACUGGGGACUUUGCUAUAAAAUCUGAUUACUGUUAUCAGCAGGAUGCUGAUUUGGCUGUCCUGCUUCAAGGAGAGUCAUCCAAAUUACAGAUCAGCCAAAACACAGGCUGGGUGGUGCUGGCAGAUGUAGACAGAAUGCUCUGGAGUCUCUCCUUAUCCUAAGGUAGGGAGAAGAUUCUGCGGCCUGACUCAACACAAACUGUUCAUACAGGUGACAAAUACCAGACUCCCGGAACGGGAACAUGCUGACCUCCCACAUCGUGGAAAACUAGAGAAAAUUCAAAAGGGGGCCGGUGCUUGGUUCUGGGUGCUAGGAUGCACACCCCACGAGUUCCUCCCUGGAGAGAAGCAGUUUGCUUUUUGCAUCCUUUUGUUAAAGGACCUUUGGGAAAUGUGUAUUUAGUACCUAAUGUGCAGAAGGUCCUGGGCUGUCCCCUCAGAGAUAUGGAGAAGCAUAUCCCAGUGACAUGCCUGCCAGGGAGACACACAGAAGAGGUCAGAAGGCACUUGGUGAGAAAUGCCAAAGGCCUACAAAGUUCUAAGUGCUCCUGGAGCUGCAGGGGGAGUUGGGGCUUGAGCCAGGUGGGAAAGCAUCAAGGAAAAGGAGGCGUUUGACCCACAUUGAGUUCUUCCCUUAAGAGAGGAGCAGAGCCUCAAGUAGAACAUGACUUUAGUUAGCUUCUCCCAGUAAACGGAGAGAAGGGCCAAUAUAGUCGACUGGCCGUUUUGCAAAAGAUGAUCGUGCAGCCCCAGGCUGGGUGUGAGGGAUGUCACUGCUAGAAGAGGUGGAGGCUUCAGGAAGGGGUUCUGGUUCUUGCUGUUGACUAUGUAGGAAGGGACGGAAGGAAGGGAACCGGAGGGCAGCAUUCAUAACCAGCCUAUCACUCACACCGAAGAUGUGCCACAGUGGGAACUCUUGGGGAGUAAACCCGGGCUCAAAAAUGCUACUCCACUCUUUCUGGCUGGGUGGCCCUGGCUAAAUUACAGUCCUCUGUCCCCAAACCUCAAUUCCCUGGACUGUGAAAUGGGGCAGUGCCUGUCACAGUAGGGAGCUCAUUAGCAUGAAAUAAUGCAUGUAUAUCCUGGAAUACAGUAUCUUGCGUACAAAUGGUCAAUAAAUGCUACAUCUCACCUGACUCUUCUCACAUCAUCUUGCCACGCACUGGAAUAAAGACUGGGAUCACCAGCCAUGGAUUUUUCUGGAAAAUGCUUAAUUUCACAAUUCUUAUCUUGUUGGUACAUAUGACAGGCAAUAUGGCCAACCUGAGACUUAGCAGAUGCAUUCUUUCCAUUCAUAGGUAAUAAUAGCGCCUAUUUAGUAUCUUAUUGGAUCAUCCAUUCUCUAGACAUUUUUGAUGCGGGGGGUGGUAGGACAGAGAGGAGGUGAGAGAGGAGAACUUAGGAAAAAAGGAACUAUGUCCCCCUCUGGUGUGUGCUCAGUGAGUAAGCCCUGCCAAUGGCCCAGUUUCCUAGGAAACUCUGCUUGGAGACCUCAUACAAGAAACGUAUCGGCAGUUUGCUUUGUAGAAGACACACACAACUGGCAGUCAUUUUGACAAUGUGUCACAAGGCCAACGGCGUGCAGAGUACCUGAAUCAAACAAAUUUUUGAGGUGAAUAUUCACUCAGGUGGCAGUCAAUUUGUUGUUGUUUUUUUUUACAUUUAAAACACUCUAUUCAGUUGACUCAAAACGUAAGACUUUUCUUUCUCAUCAUACUCAUCCACCAUGGCAAAGGGUGUCAUUGUACUUAGUCUAGUUGGCAUCAAUAUUCUUUACUCACUAUUGAGCUCUUGCUCAAUGCCCAGGCUGCAAGACUCUCCUCCCUGCAUGCUCGAGAGAGGCCCUGGGCUCCUGCUCUCCUGGACCCGGACAGACGCCCCUCAUCUCAUUUCCCUCGAGAAGACUCCUCCAAGCUGCAGCAAAAUCCUUUGGAUUCAGGGAGUGACAAGGCAGGUACAUCUACCCUAAUCACAGAAGCUUUUUAUUUAAUCAUCUCGUCUUUGUUCUAGAAGUCCCUAUUGCCUACCCACAUCUCCUAAACAGUUUACACAAAGCUCUGUUAGUUAAUUAACAGCCUGCCUAGCCCCACAGCCAAGAUCCUUAAGGAGGCGGAAGUAAUGCUCAGAACAGACCAAGGUUUUGAGAGGUUUUAUGACAGUGAGUUUGGUCAGUCUAGUCGAGAAGAGCAAAUGAGAGUUGUGCUCUCUCCUCUGGUAUCAGAGUAUAAAUGCACCUGCUGCCUCCCUGUCCCUGGAUGAAAACAGGUGGUUUCUUAAGCAUAGUGUUCCCUCUCACCUGUGUCCCAGUGACUUCACGGCUUCUCUAAUUCUUGCUCUCUUUUGUCAAGAUGGAAUCUCAGUUAGGUUCUGAGACACCUUUUUGUAAGAGCAGUAUUAUCCUGCGAAUCCUUGCAUGAUAUCUUGACGAAGAGCCCCUCCUUGAUAAACUUUCUCUGAAACCAUCAGUGGAUGAAAAGCAGAACAACCGACUUCAGUCAGAAACCUUAAGACUCAAAAACUCACAGAGUGGGAUGAACACUAACAUGUGCUAUGAUGUAAGGCUGAGUGGACAUCAAGGGCUCAAAGAGCACAGCUUCCCGAGGGAGGAGGGUAAGGAAGCCAGGCGGGAGACAAGGGUGCCCAGAGGAAGCAAGUCAGGAGGCAAUUCGGAGCCUUCAGAAAACUGGAAGCUCAGUAAAUGGGUGAAUGCUGUGUGGAGUCAGGGGACGCUGAAGGAGUAAGGGCUAUGUCAUGGACUAUGCAGGAAAAAUAGGCAUGGCACCUCCGGAGAAGGGAGGGGGUGCAAAGAGCUGAGACGGAAGGGGAGGGUCUUUGAGGUUCUCAAGGGAGAGUCUGUUUCAGGGUAUGGUUUGUGACUUCAGCAAUAUACAGCCAACACUCGGGAAAUGUUUGCUGAGUCAGAAAGCCCUAAAACUCGGAGUGAUGAGGACAGAAAAGCUCUGGGCUCUGUCCUAAGCGCUUUACGUGUACUAGCUCAUUUAAUUCUCUGAGGUUGGUACCAAUAUGGCAGGUGAGGAAACUGAGGCAUAAGCAGGUAAACUAACUCGAGGGGGAUCACGCUGGUAAUUGACAGUGGCAUCUGGAUUAAAAGCCAGGCAUUCGGGCUGCAGAUUCUGUGAAUUCAACCACAACAGCACACAAACCACAGGGAAUAGAGUCCUCUGGGUAAUUUCUCGAUCACUUUUUGAAAAUAUACCCACCCCAACUCCCCAACUGAAAGUAUCUGUAGGAAUUAUGCUAGUGCUUAAAUUAUAGCUUACUAAAUAUGUGAGUUUUCAAUUUUUUUUUUUUUUUUUUGUCUAGGAAAUACACAUGGGGAAAGAAGGAAAAUUAUGGUCUGGUUACCACGAACUGAAUUAGGCAGAGAGAGGGUUUUUUGCUGUCUUUUUGUCUGCUUGUGGAAUUCUCUAUAACAGGUACUUUCCACUCUCAUGAUUUCACUCUGACUGAGAGAAAUAGAUUUGGUAUCAUUUCUCAAUUGAUUGAAUUUUUGCUGAGAAACAAGACAUUUUUUAAAAGGCCAAUGACUUAUCCCAUCUACCUCUAGUUGUUUUCCUGGGAAGUCAAUGGUCUUGUCCAUUUUCAAUGUUUUCAAUUAUUUUUAAAAUUUUUGGUUAACUAGACAUACCGUAAGCUGUACCAUUUUAACCAUUUUUAAGUGCACAGUUCAGUAGCAUUAAGCACAUUCAUACUCUUGUGCAGCCAUUACCACCAUCCGUUUCCCAAACUCUUUCCAUUUGUCAAAACUAAAAACUGUACCUUCCUGUUAGUAAGGAAGUUUCCCUUUAAUAGACAAAAUUAAAAGAAAUAAUUAGGCAAAGAAGAAAGGGGUUAGUUUGCUGAAUGAAGUCAACCCAAAGAAAACAAUUAUAUUCAAUCUCUUCUCUAUAGGACAGGUUUAAAAACAAAACAAAAAAGCCAGAUCUUUGUCACUGAAAUUGACAGCUUAAUCUUCAUAUAAUUCAAUUCUCUUUAAGGUGGUGUAACUUAUUGUAGCCUAGUAAAGAGAAAGUAGUUUAAAGUAUUAACCAUGUGGGUUAUCUUUGUGACUGACGCACAGCAGGGCUAACAUUCUCUUCGAAAGGCAUUACCCCGCUGGACCCCACGCCCCAGAUUCCGAUUCAAUUGAUUACCAGUAUCUCUUGAAGCUUCCCUGAAGAGCCUCAUGUGCAACCAUGGAGGAAUCCUAAAGUUUAAAGCAGUGAUAUGGGCUGAAUACCAAUUUGAAGCCAUGGAGUAAAUAUGCAUAAAUCAGCCUUCUGGUUUCUCUUUAUUCGGAGACCACUUUGAGAACGUGAUGACGUUUUGGAUCAUACCCUAGAAAUGCAUGUCUACUCACACAUGCUCACCAAAUUCAUAUCCCUUUGCAGGGGCCUUUGGUCCACUAGAAGCCCACCUUUACCUGCUGAGUGUGGAAUAAGCAGAGACAGCAGCCAAGGAGGAAACCCUGGAGAACACCAACAAAGAAUGAGCCAGCUGAGCAACCCAGGAGACUGGACGCUGCAGCCAGAGAGGUGGGAGGAGAGCCAACUGAAGGCAAGAAACGGGAGAAUUUUUAAGAGAAAAGGGUAGUGCGGACUCAGAUGCGAUGAACUGGCCCAACAAUGGCAUUGGAGAUGGUUAAGAGGAGACAGCAGGACCUAUGAAACCAUCAAGCAUGCUCUGUUGGAAGACAGGCUGGAGGGCAGAUACCAUAGAUGUACAGAGGUGAGUAGGACAGAGAGGCCACUGGAAGCAGCCAUUGGGAUUAAACUGCAAAGAGGUAUAGAUGUCAAAGGAGUCUCAGGACAGUGGUGGGUGCAGGGCCAGAACGCUGAGGGCAGGAAUGAGGAGAUGGGGUUUAGACAUGAUAAGUGCUCAUGUGAACAGCUACUGGACCUCCUUCUCCAGAUCCCAUCUGCCUUCCUUCCCACGCUUGCCUGUCUGCCUCUAUUUCCUGGUUUUGCCUGAGGCACACUCGACUCCCUGACCUCCAGACUCCAAAAUAUCUAGCCAUCUCUCUCCCUAACCCCACACCUUCAUCCAGUUGCCUGGUUCUCAUGAAUUCUACAUCUGGUUGCUCUCAAUACUUUCCCUAAUGUCCACAUCCUACCCCUUUCUCCCUUGCGCAAGCUUCAUCCACCCAUGACUCUGUUUUAACUCCACACCACUUCCAAUGUGUUUUUUAUCUUCUGUUACUCUUAGAGAUGGGCCAUCUGAAGUUCUUCAGGUCAGAUUCUAUUUUCCAAAAAUGGCCUACAACAAUAUUUCCCAUCCCACAUGAUCUCCUACAAUGUGGUAGUGACGCUCUCCCUCCCCUGAAUCUGGAUAGAGUGUGAACCAGGGAGGGCAGAGAGAGAGGGAGACACAGAAUCCAAAGCAGCUUCCAGGCUCUGAGUUGUCAGCACAGAGCCCGACGUCGGGCUCGAAGUCCUGAACCAUGAGAUCUUGACCCAAGCUAAGUCAGACGCCCAACCGACUGAGCCACCCAGGCACCCCUAAAUUUGCUUCCUGUUAAAAUCAUUCCAUUAGAUGAGCUCUAUGAGCAUUUAUUUUAGCACAUAUUUAAGCUAAUGUGUCCUGCUCUAACAAUGUGUAGUUCAAAGUUAAGUAAGUGAGCUCUCAUUCUAGUUAAAACAAGACUUUGCGGGACUCAAAUUUAAAACAAAGUCCUAUGUUCUGAGGAAUAAUGUUUUGAGGGAAAAAAAGCCACCAUAAAUUUGGGUAGGUACUCUGGAAAAUGUGUAUAAAGUAGAGGAAUGAUUCUGUGGUCUUUUUUU